AUGGCCGAGCACGAAGGUGGUCUUCUGGUCCGGAUCGAGGACGUCGUUU
rnacentral:sRNA from 1 species